rnacentral:rRNA from 1 species
UACGGAGGGUGCGAGCGUUGUCCGGAAUCACUGGGCGUAAAGGGCGCGUAGGCGGUCUGCUAAGCGUGUGGUGAAAGCUCGGGGCUCAACCCCGAGUCUGCCAUGCGAACUGGUGGACUGGAGCACUGUAGAGGCAGGUGGAAUUCCGGGUGUAGCGGUGGAAUGCGUAGAGAUCCGGAAGAACGCCAGUGGCGAAGGCGGCCUGCUGGGCAGUUGCUGACGCUGGAGGCGCGACAGCGUGGGGAGCAAACAGG